GUCCACGCCGUAAACGAUGGGCACUAGGUGUCGGAGGUGUCGACUCCUCCGGUGCCAAAGCUAACGCAUUAAGUGCCCCGCCUGGGGAGUACGGCCGCAAGGCUAAAACUCAAAGGAAUUGACGGGGACCCGCACAAGCAGCGGAGCAUGUGGUUCAAUUCGACGCAACGCGAAGAACCUUACCUGGGCUUGACAUGUAGGUGACAACCGUGGAAACACGGUCUCCCUUCGGGGCACCUUCACAGGUGGUGCAUGGCUGUCGU
rnacentral:rRNA from 1 species